UACGUAGGGUGCAAGCGUUGUCCGGAAUUAUUGGGCGUAAAGAGCUCGUAGGCGGUCUGUCGCGUCUGCUGUGAAAACUCAGGGCUUAACCCUGAGCUUGCAGUGGGUACGGGCAGACUAGAGUGCGGUAGGGGAGACUGGAAUUCCUGGUGUAGCGGUGAAAUGCGCAGAUAUCAGGAGGAACACCGGUGGCGAAGGCGGGGUCUCUGGGCCGUAACUGACGCUGGAGGAGCGAAAGCGUGGGGAGCAAACAGG
rnacentral:rRNA from 1 species